GGGUGAUUAGCUCAGCUGGGAGAGCACCUCCCCCCUUACAAGGAGGGGGUCGGCGGUUCGAUCCCGUCAUCACCCACCA
rnacentral:tRNA from 1 species